rnacentral:rRNA from 1 species
GAUGAACGCUGGCGGCGUGCCUAAUACAUGCAAGUCGAGCGAACGGACGAGAAGCUUGCUUCUCUGAUGUUAGCGGCGGACGGGUGAGUAACACGUGGAUAACCUACCUAUAAGACUGGGAUAACUUCGGGAAACCGGAGAUAAUACCGGAUAAUAUGUUGAACCGCAUGGAUCAAAAGUGAAAGACGGUCUUGCCGUUACUUAUAGAUGGAUCCGCGCUGCAUUAGCUAGUUGGUAAGGCAACGGCUUACCAAGGCAACGAUGCAUAGCCGACCUGAGAGGGGGAUCGCCCACCCUGGACCUGAGACACGGUCCAGCCUCCUACGGGAGGCAGCAGUAGGGACUCUUCCGCAAUGGGCGAAAGCCUGCCGGGGCACCGCCGCGUGAGUGAGGAAGGUCUUCGGUUCGUAAAACUCUGUUAUUAGGGAAGAACAUAUUUGUAAGUAACUGUGCACAUCUUGACGGUACCUAAUCAGAAAGCCACGGCUAACUACGUG